AUAGACGAAAUGAUAAGAUUCUCUAGUAAAAAGUAUUAUUAAUAAGCCACAAACCACCGAGAAAAAUCUAUUUUUUUAGUUAUUUGGGGUUGGCAACGCAAAAACUAUCCAUGUAAAAGCAUAGGCAGUAUAUUUAGGACACGCCCCCAAAAAUUUUGGCAAGUUAUACCUUAACAAAUAAAAUACAUGUGCCAACAUAUAUCGAGCAAUGACAGCUAAUUGUCGAGUCGACAGUCGGUAAGAAUGUUCAAAAAUGGCGUCUCAGGUAUCUUACAGUUUCUUACAGUAUCUUACAGUAUCUUACUGUAAGUGUAAGAAACCUCAAAAAUCGACCAUUUACCCAUCACUGCUCUGCACCCGUAUUCACAG